rnacentral:rRNA from 1 species
GAUGAACGCUGACAGAAUGCUUAACACAUGCAAGUCAACUGUGGCGGACGGGUGAGUAACGCGUAAAGAACUUGCCUCACGGAUAGGGACAACAUUUGGAAACGAAUGCUAAUACCUGAUACUGUGAGAGAGCUUUGCGUCCCAUUAGCUAGUUGGAGAGGUACCGGCUCACAAGGGCGAUGAUGGGUAGCCGGCCUGAGCGGGUGAUCGGCCACAAGGGGACGGGGACACCGCCCUUACUCCUUCGGGAGGCAGCAGUGAGGAAUAUUGGACAAUGGACCAAAGUCUGAUCCAGCAAUUCUGUGUGCAAGAUGAAGUUUUCGGAAUGAAAAGUGCUUUCAGUUGGGAAGCGGUACCAACAGAAGAAGUGACGGCUAAAUACGUGCCAGCAGCCGCGGUAAUUC